rnacentral:rRNA from 1 species
GACGAACGCUGGCGGCGUGCUUAACACAUGCCAGUCGAACGGUGAAGGGAUCAGCUUGCUGGUUCUGGAUGAGUGGCGAACGGGUGAGUAACACGUGAGUAACCUGCCCCCUUCUUCUGGAUAACCGCAUGAAAGUGUGGCUAAUACGGGAUAUUCUGGGUCUGUCGCAUGAUGGGUCUGGGAAAGAUAUUGUUUCGGUGGGGGAUGGGCUCGCGGCCUAUCAGCUUGUUGGUGGGGUGAUGGCCUACCAAGGCGGUGACGGGUAGCCGGCCUGAGAGGGUGGACGGUCACACUGGGACUGAGACACGGCCCAGACUCCUACGGGAGGCAGCAGUGGGGAAUAUUGCACAAUGGGCGCAAGCCUGAUGCAGCGACGCCGCGUGAGGGAUGGAGGCCUUCGGGUUGUAAACCUCUUUCGCCAGUGAAGCAGGCCUGCUCCUUGUGGGUGGGUUGACGGUAGCUGGAUAAGAAGCGCCGGCUAACUACGUG